rnacentral:rRNA from 1 species
GUCGAUAAUCUACCUUUGGGUCAAGAAUAACCUUGGGAAACUGAGGCUAAUGCUUGAUAAGAGAUUAUUACUGGAAUGUAUUUUCUCUGAAAGUUUCGAUGCCCAAAGAUGAGUCGGCGGCUGAUUAGGCUGUUGGUGAGGUAAAGGCUCACCAAACCUUUGAUCAGUAGGGGGGAUGAGAGUCCUAGCCCCGAGAAGGGCACUGAGAUACUGGCCCUAGUCCUAAGGGACGCAGCAGUCGCGAAACCUUUACAAUGCACGCAAGUGUGAUAAGGGGAUUCCUAGUGCUUUACCUCUGGUAAGGCUUUUGCCAAGUUUAAAUUGCUUGGCGAAUAAGUGGUGGGCAAGACUGGUGCCAGCCGCCGCGGUAACACCAGCGCCACAAGUGGGGGCCGCAUUUAUUGGGUCUAAAGCAUCUGUAGCCGGUUUGAUAAGUUUCUUGUGAAAUUGUUCGGCUUAACUGAACAUUGUGCAAGAAAUACUAUUAGACUAGGGACUGGGAGGGGAUAAAAGUAUUCCAAGGGGAACGGUAAAAUGUUUUAAUCCUUGGAGGACUACCUAUGGCGAAGGCAUUUAUCCAGAACAGGUCCGACGGUGAGAGAUGAAGGCUAGGGGAGCGAUCCGGAUUAGAUACCCGAGUAGUCCUAGCAGUAAACGCUGUGAGUUAGGUGUUGCAUAUUCUUCGGGAAUGUGCAGUGCCGGAGCGAAGGCAUUAAACUCACCACCUGGGGAGUAUGGUCGCAAGACUGAAACUUAAAGGAAUUGGCGGGGGCGCACUACAAGGAGUGAAACGUGCGGUUCAAUUGGAUUUCACACCGUAAAUCUUACCAAGAGCGACGGCAGGAUGAAGGUCAGAUUAAAGGUUUUACCUGACGAGCCGAGAGAUAGUGCAUGGCCGUCGUCAGUUCGUGCUGUGAAGUGUCCUGUUAAGUCAGGCAACGAACAAGAUCUAUAUCUACAUUUGCUAGCAGGUUCUUUUGAAUGACUGAGCACAAUGUGGAGACUGCCCGGGAAACUGGGAGGAAGGUAUAGGCAACGGUAGGUCAGUAUGCUUCGAAUCUCUUGGGCUACACGCGCGUGACAAUGGUAAGGACAAUGGGUCACGACUCUGAAAAGAGAAGUUAAUCCUCGAAACCUUAUCUUAGUUCAGAUCGAGGGCUGCAACUCGCCCUCGUGAUGCCGGAAUUCCUAGUAAUUGGGUCUCAACAGGGCCCAGUGAAUAAGUCCCUGUGCCUUGCACACACCGCCCGUCAAAUCAACCGAGCAGGGUUUGAGUGAGGCUUAAUUUUUUGAUUAAUCCGAACUCAAGCUCAGUAAGGUGGGUUAAGUCGUCACAAGGUA